CGGGACGUGGCGCAGCCUGGUAGCGCAUCUGCUUUGGGAGCAGAGGGUCGCUGGUUCAAAUCCAGUCGUCCCGACCA
rnacentral:tRNA from 1 species